GAUGAAAGGGAAAGAGAAACUUGGGGCACGUGUCACCAGGCUGGCAAGCAGCUCCGCUGGGCUGGCGGGGAGAGUCCAGAGUGGGAGACCAGGCGGGGCUCCAGCAAGUUCAUUCCUGUGUAACAGUGCACAAGGAUGUUAACUGACCAGGGGCAAGUCUCGACAAGCUGCAUUGGGGCAAAAGCAGGUUUCAAAGGGAUAGGUACAGUAUGAUUCCACAGGAUUGAAAAAGCCCAGAGCACUACAUACCAACAGUAACCUGUAUUGUCUACGGUCCCUAUGAUUAAUUAGCUUUUUGCAAAAGAGCAAAAAAAGUCAUAAUGAAAAUAGAAAGAAAGAAAGAAAGAAGAAACUCAAGAGUGAAACUGUAUUACGCCAACAAAACCAGAUCCCAAAUCAAAGCAACUCUGAGAAUAAGGGAGACGUUCCACCCUAGGGGUCUUUUUUGUCUGCAAAGGUGAGGGAGCAAUGGGAAGUUUGCUUUAGGAUUUUAUGUUUUCCCCUCUGACCUAAAGUAGCCCCCUACCUGAUGAUGUUUAUUUACUGUGAAACUGUAUCUGCCCGACAUCUGCAUAGACCUCCACCAAGCCCAGCUCCUAGUUCUAAAGCACCAUCACACCCCAGGGUUUCCCCAGCCCCCCAUGCCCAUACCACCACCACCAACAUUCAACACACAUACCCAAGCCAUGGGUGGUGAACAGCAGUUCCCUUUUUUUUUUUUUUAAGAUUUAUUUAUUUAUUUGAGAGGG